UACGAAAGGUGCAAGCGUUACUCGGAAUCACUGGGCGCAAAGCGCACGUAGGCGGACUCGCAGGUCACUUGUGAAAUCCCUGGGCUCAACCCGGGAACUGCAGUUGAAACCGCUUGUCUUGAAUACCUGAGAGGGUGGGGGAAUACCUGGUGGAGAAGUGAAAUUCGUAGAGAUCAGGUGGAACACCGGAGGCGAAGGCGCCUGCCUGGCAGUGUAUUGACGCUGAGGUGCGAAAGUGCGGGGAGCAAACAGG
rnacentral:rRNA from 1 species